AGGACGAACGCUGGCGGCGUGCUUAACACAUGCAAGUCGAGCGGAAAGGCCCUUCGGGGUACUCGAGCGGCGAACGGGUGAGUAACACGUGAGUAACCUGCCCCUAGCUCUGGGAUAGCUCCGGGAAACCGGGAUUAAUACCAGAUACGACCACUUUAGACAUCUGUCGUGGUGGAAAGGAUUCCGGCUAGGGAUGGGCUCGCGGCCUAUCAGCUUGUUGGUGGGGUAACGGCCUACCAAGGCGACGACGGGUAGCCGGCCUGAGAGGGCGACCGGCCACACUGGGACUGAGACACGGCCCAGACUCCUACGGGAGGCAGCAGUGGGAAUAUUGCGCAAUGGGCGAAAGCCUGACGCAGCGACGCCGCGUGGGGGAUGAAGGCCUUCGGGUUGUAAACCCUUUCAGCAGGGACGAAGCGAAAGUGACGGUACUGCAGAAGAAGCGCCGGCUAACUACGUGCCAGCAGCCGC
rnacentral:rRNA from 1 species